rnacentral:lncRNA from 1 species
ACAUGUUUAAUUGAUUCUUAUAUAUAAUUACAAAUACAAAAACAAUAUGAGACCAUAUGACAAUAAAAUGAUUGUUAAAAGACAUGUUGACAUUUCAGGCUAUUCCAUUAAAAUGGAUGUGAGAGGGUAGGAAGUGAUUUUUUGUUUUGACGUUACUUUUCAGGGCUCUGAAUGGGGAUUUAUCAUAUAUCAUGUAUUUUUCAAAUUUUGAUGCUUUUAUAAAAAAAUUCUCUAUUCUUUUAUCUCCCUCAUUAUUCCCUUAACUUUAUAUUAUCACAUCCAAUAAUUUUCUAUAUUCUUCAAAUUUUACCAUUUUUAAAAAUCUUUCUUAAUCCUUCAUAUCUUAGCACCCAAUUAUUCUCUAUUCUUUCAUUUUUAUGCCCCAUUUAUGGACAUUAUGUUUUCUGGUCUGUGCAUCCAUUCGUCUGUCUGUCCGUUCCUUUGUCCAUUAAUUCGUUUGUCAGUCUGUCUCGCUUCAGGUUAUAGUUUUUGGUCGAGGUAGUUUUUGAUGAAAUUGAAGUCCAAUCAACUUGAAACUUAGUACACAUGUUCCCUAUGAUAUGAUCUUUCUAAUGUCAAUGUCAAAGUACUAGGGACACAUUUUUGUUUUAAUCUACUUUUUUUUCUGUCCUCUAUUUCCACUGUAUCUUUCCCCAUUAUUCCACUAUUUUGUAAACCCCAUCCAAAACCUCUAAUUUCCAAUUUAUGCACAUAACUCAAAGAAAAGUAUGUUGCAGUAGAAAGAUUUUGAAUUUGGGUCCUACCCUUCCCCAUUAAUUUUAAAAGAAAAGCCCAUAGCAAAAUAUAUACCUUAAAUAAAUUAAAAAAAAUACAUAUUUUAAAAUGUUUUACAUGGAUAAAAUAUGUUGUAAAAAUAAACAUGAUAAAAUAUAAUUUAAAAUUAAAUAUGAUAAAAUAUAUUGCCAGUCAUAAGUUUUACAAUAAAAUCUUAUUAUAUCACAAUUACAUUACAAUAUGUAAAAAAUAAUUUUAUAGAACAGUAAAAAAUCUGAGAAAAAUUUUUAGUCACAAAAAAUUUCUCAUACCCAUAUAUAUUUUGACUCUAAAAUUUAACCAAUAAACAAUGAUUUGAUAAUGGGCAAUAAAAUUAAAAAUAAAGAAAAUUUAAAAUAUACAGUUAAAAUUUCAUAAUUCUUCAAGUUUGUUGCAAAAUAAUAUCAGAUAAAUAUUCAAAUCAAAAUACAAAUCUCAUCAUCAUUUCAACCUUUUGUUCUUGAUGUAGGUUGAUAAA